CACAAUGUGGGCCACUACUAAUUGACUAGGAACAUGUGCUGAAAUUAAAGAAAUGCAUGGACUCAAUAGGUGAUAAAAAGGCAAGUAGUGAGGUGCCCUCACACUCAAAAUGCCCAAACAAUACAUGUAGAUCCUUAAUUUCAUAGUCUUUGAGUUUUUAUCCCUUUGGAGAUUAUAUACACACAUCAUUCAUGCAUCGAGCUAGUGUUUGUUGCAUCACAUCUGGAUUUGUUGUUUAGGCUUGGAAAGCAUUGAGAGUUACUCUUUUACGCCAUGUUGCGUUUCCACAAGUAACUUGGUCCCUUCAACCUUGUUCAGAAUGACCGAUUGGGAGUUGGAGAGACCUUUCAUGUGAAGUGUCAAGGACACAUGAUGUUGGUGGAUACGUAGCAUUCUUCUGGGGCACGAACGCCAACAACCUUGUGGCAAAUGUUAGCCUGAAUAUUACCAUGGUGUGGGAUAAACCACAAUUAGGGCAUUCCGGGUAGAACUCAGGGAACCUAUGGCCAAAAGACAGGCGUAGCAAUAAUAAAAAUGACAUCAAUUUUACAGAUAUCAAUGUGCAAAGACAAACUUAGCACAAGAUAUUCAUCCGUACGGAGUUUACUCCUACGCACCCGAGCGUUCAAAUGCUCGAGAUCUCAAUCUCCCCACCCCUGAUUUCAACGGGUGGGCGCCCGGUGUGCAAAACCUUUACUAAAAAAGGAAGUUUGAUGCUAUCCAAAUUGUUUUUUCUUUUAAACGCAAUACAGAC
rnacentral:lncRNA from 1 species